rnacentral:rRNA from 1 species
CGCGUAGGCGGUUGUGUAAGUUGGAUGUGAAAGGCCCGGGCUUAACCUGGGAGUUGCAUCUGAUACUGCAUGACUAGAGUAGUGUAGAGGGGAGUGGAAUUUCCAGUGUAGCGGUGAAAUGCGUAGAUAUUGGAAAGAACACCGGUGGCGAAGGCGGCUCCCUGGACACAUACUGACGCUGAGGCGCGAAAGCGUGGGGAGCAAACA